CUAUUCCCUUUCUUUUUAUCAAACCCCCAACUCCAGGAAACUCCUAGGACUCGGUCCACAGCAACUUUCUGUUCUUUCAGCUUCAGUCUUCCUUAAUUCAUUUUAUCUAUUUUCCUGGUUCCCAAUGCCAUCUAGACAUCCAUCUAUCUAGCAAGCAAUCCACAGUCUUUAUUUAAAACUGCCUCCAAAGGAACCCACAACACUCUGACAUGACCUCCUUCAUCUUGGAAGUGCAUUCUUUGUAAGAAAAAGUCUCCCUUGCAUGGUGCUGAAAUCCACGUUAUCCUAACCGGUAGGCUUCAUAAUGAUAACACUGGGACACUCCAGGAAUCUGAAGUGGUUUCAGAAUCAUGUAGAGCUCUAUGGGGAAAGAGAAAGCGUGUGUGUGAACCAGAGAGCAAGCUUCCAUCUGCUGCUUCACCCCCCAAAUGGUCUACACAGCCAGGUCUGGGCAAGGCUGAAGCCAGCUCUCUACUGUGACCUGGAAAGGCAGUAGAAGAUGGCUCAAGUGCUUGGGCCCCUGAAUCUGUAUGGGAGACCAGGAAGAAGCACUUGGCUCCUGGCUUCGGAUCAGCACAGCUCUGGACACUGCGGAGUAAACCAAUGGAAGGAAGACCUUUCUCUCUGUCUCUCCCUUUCACUGUAACUCUACCUCUCAAAUAAAUAAAGAAAUAAAAUCUUUAAAAUAUAUAUCAUAUUAAAUUUAUUACUUCCUAGAGUAUAAAUAGAUAGAUAUAGAGAUAGAUGUCCUAUGUUCCAAAAGGAAAACUUUUACUCACUUUUAUUUCAAUACCACAUGCUUCUAUCACAUUAAUAUAAUCUGACAAUUUUUCAAGAUUAUAAUUUUAUUUGUUCUUUCAGAAUUUUUUCUUUGUCUUUGGUAGUUUGAGGGUUGAAUAUGUUACUCCCAGGAACGUGUGUGUGUGUGUGUGUGUGUGUGGUGCUUGUGUUUUGUUUUUAUUCUAUUCUAUCUUUUUAUACUUUCCCCAAGCUUCAUAGAUGUGUGAUUUGGUAUCUGCCACUAAUUUUGGAAAGUUUUUAAUAUUACUCCCAGUAUUCCUUGUGCUCUAUUCUUUCUUUCUUUCUUUACUUUCUGGCAUUCCAAUUACAGAUAUUCCUUUUAAAACUUUCUCUCCACUUUAAAUAUUCUAUUAUGUUUUAUGUAUUCUUUGAUUUCAGUUUGGGAACUUUCUGUUAAUCUAUUUUACUUCACUGAUUUUUCCUGGGACAUGUGCUAUUUACUAAUGUGCCAUCAAAGGCAUUCUUCAUUUCUGUUAGUUUGAUUUGAUUUCUAAUAUUUCCAUUUGUUUUUUUCUUAGAAUAUCCAUAUCUUCUUACAUCACCUAUUUGUUCCUGCAGCAUAUAUACAUUUUCCACUAGAGCAUUUCACAUGUUCAUAGUAGUUAUUUUUAAUUAUUCAAUAAUUCAGUAUCUGGGUAAUAUCUGAGUCCAGUUCUGAUGACUGCUUUGUGUAUUGAGAUUGGUUUUGGUUUUGGUUUUUAGUUUUUUGCCUUUUGGCAUGCUUUGUAAUUUUCUAUCAUAAGCCAGACAUGUUAUAUAGGGUGACGGGACCUGUGGUAAAUAGGCCUUUAGUGUUAUGUUAAUCUGGCUAGGAAUUGAACUGUGCUUAGUAUUUCUUGUACCUACAGGUAUCCUUAGCUUCAAAUCAAUCCUGUGUCAUUGCUUUUUCCUCUGCUGACUUGGCCCUUCCUUAUGCACUCUUCUCCAGACAGACUCAGUGUCUUGUAGAAGAUUCAGCUGCAAUCCACUGCUGUCCCACCUAGAAUUGUGGUAGUAAAGUGUAAAGGAGGAGGAACAUUCUGUACUCUUCCACUGAGACCUCAUUAUUGUAGUCAGUGGUGUCUCAGGACAGUGACCUUCGAAAACGUCUCUCCAGUAUACUAUAUUUUACAUCUUGCAUUCUACUCCCUUCCUGGGCUUUGUCAUUCCCAGAUUACUUCCUUAAAGGUUAAAUGCUAUUGACUCUGCUGGUCUAUCCUUAUAUGACAAAAGAAGCCCAGUAGGGAUUAGAGUUGAAAAAGAUUCUCUUAUUCCCAACUGAAAAGCAGGUUUUAUAAUUACUCCCUGGCAGAAUUUCCACACGGAGAAUAUGCCUUUGUUAUGCAGAGGUCUUGGGCAUACUUCUUUGCAUCCUCUGCCAAAGUCUUUUAAGUGGAUUCUUCUCAAAACCUCACUGUUAAAACCUGGUGGUAUUCCUGGAAAUUCCACAAAAGGGUAGGAAACCCUCAAGACUGAGGCCCCAAUAUUUGCUCUCUCUCGUGUUACUUCAGGCAGGCUUGAACAGUUCAUCAGAUGUCCAUACAAGCACUCCUAAUCCGUCUAUAGCUCCAACAGCUUCUGCUCCAAGAGACCUCAUCUCAGCUGCUUGGAUGUGCCUGUCUCACCAGAUUUUGUGGUGAUGGUUUUCUGUGACAUCCUUAUUCUCUACUGGACUACAGAAAAUGUGUUAGUUUAGUUUGUCCAACUUUUUCUUCUUGUGAGGACAACAGUCAUGGCUUCAAAACUCUACCUGUUAAUGCUGAAACCAGAGCAAACUUAACAAGACGUUUUAGUGGUUUCUUUGCUCAUCAUGCUUGUGAUAAAAUACAUUUAGGAUUUUUAAAUAUUUUUGUGAGCUGUAACUUUAAUCAACUUUUCCAAUAGGGUUUAUAGGUGGUAAGUGUCCAAAGUCCAUGGGAUAUCUAUCUCCGUUGUUAUUUUAUCAUUCACAGGAAUGAGUUGGUUUGGGCAUAAAAUUCAAGCCUCAUAAUCUUUUUUUCCCUAAUUCUUAUUUAUUUAUUUUUUUUGACAGAGUAGACAGUGAGAGAGACUUCAUUCUCUUUUUUUUUAUUUUUAUUUUUUUUGACAGGCAGAGUGGACAGUGAGAGAAAGAGACAGAGAGAAGGUCUUCCUUUGCUGUUGGUUCACCCUCCAAUGGCCGCCGCGGCCGGCGCGCUGUGGCUGGUGCACUGCGCUGAUCCGAUGGCAGGAGCCUGGUACUUAUCCUGGUCUCCCAUGGAGUGCAGGGCCCAAGCACUUGAGCCAUCCUUCACUGUACUCCCUGGCCACAGCAGAGAGCUGGCCUGGAAGAGGGGCAACCGGGACAGAAUCCGGCGCCCCAACCGGGACUAGAACCCCGUGUGCCGGUGCCGCAAGGCAGUGGAUUAGCCUAGUGAGCCACGGCGCCGGCCAAUUCUUAUUCUUUAGAAGAUAUUGCUGAAACGUUUUCUUGAGACCAGCCCUUUUUUAAAAGGAAGAAUUGGUCACCAACAUUUCUUGAUAUAUGGCUCUAGAAUUCCACUUAUAGUAUCUCCAGUUGUGGAUUUUCUGUUUUUACUCCCCAGGAACAGUUCCAUCUCAUGAGUCUCUCAGUGGUAAGGCAAUGUCUUCUCCUUUCUCUACCUACUUCUUUAAAAACAAUGGUGAAAUCCACAUAAUAUAAAAUUAACCAUUUUGAAGUGUAUGGUCCAUAUGCAUUGGUUAUGCAACCACAUCCUUCAUCUAAUUCCAAACCAUUUUCUUAACUCUAAAACUAAACAAAAAGCAAUUAUGUCUUUUUUCUGUUCUGUAUUGCUAUAAUAGAAUACCAUCGACUUGGUAAUUUAUUUAAAAAGACAUUUAUUUCCCACAUAUCUGGAGGCUGAGAAGUCAUUAUCAAAAUGCUGACCUCUGGUGAGGGUCUUUGUGUUGCCUCUUCCUAUUGGCAGAAGGUGGAAGGGAAAGAAGUCCUGAGGGCAAGACACCAUGAGAAAGCUGAACCUGUUUUUAUAACAAGCCCACUCUAGUGAUAAUUAAUUCAUCCGCUGGAUAGUGACAUUAAUUCAUUCAUGGGGGCAGAGACUCCAUGAGCUAAUUACUUCUUAUUAGGCAGCAUUUUCCAACCCUGUAGCAUCGAUGAUUGUUUCCAACAUUUGCACUUUAUAAUAAACUUUCAAACCACAGCAAACCUCAUGGCCAUUAAUCAGUGAUUCCCCAUUCUUUCCAUACCGCAGCACCGGGAAAUCACUAAUUUUCUUUCUGUUUUAAGGAAUUUACCUAUUUUAGAUAUUUUGUAUAAAUAGAACCAUAAAUUAUAUGUGACCCUGUGAUAUGGGACAAAUCAGGGAGACAGUUUAGGCCCAUGAGCUGCAGGCCACACCCUUUGCCCCUAAGUGAUCUCACCUGUAUCCACUCACCUGUCAAUCAGACUAUGUAACCACUGCCCUUUUGGAAGUUAAGAAGAGGCUGGAGCACACGGAGUCCACCCCGCUCUGCUGCUUCUCAUGCCUGCUCCUCUGCACCCCGUUUUUACCACCAGCCGCUGCUCUCCCAUCCUCGUGCCCUCUCCUGCUUUCAGGAGAGGCUGGUAUGGAACUCCCCACUUACUUUUUCUGACCCACUUUUCCUUAAUAAAGCCCUCACGUUCCUGUGUAUUUCUCUCACUUUCCAAAUAAAUCCUGAACUUGACCAUGUUGUCUGCCUUGUUUGCACUGGGCUUAGAAUUCUUAUCUGAGUAAACAGAAAGAACCUGACAUAUUAAA